AUGGAGCAGCAGGAAGGUUUAUCAACGGAAAUAUUCGUACUGAUGAGCCUAGAGGAAGAGGUUUUGUUUGCCUGUUUAAGAAUUAAGGGUGGCAGCAGUAGGCUCUGCCUUUGGGGUCGAGGUGGCCAGUUAGAAGGGCGUGCUACUUUCCCUGGGUCCCGCCCCUCCCCAGGUGAGCUGGGUCCCUUUGUGAUGCUGAUGAAAACGCCUAGGAGGGAGAUAUGACAAUGACUCGCUCCUACCCCCUACCCCAGUCCUUUCCACCCCAGAGAAGGCGGCUUCCCGCUCCUCGUCUUGGGACCUAACCCCAGGAAGUCAGAUGUCCUUGUCCAGCAGGUCGCCUGGCUCGAGGCAGCGGACGAAGCGGUCCAGGCACAGCCAGCUGCAGGGAGCGGCCUUGGCGGUGCUGCUCGUGGCCCUGGUCAGUGAGCGCACGCACUCCCGGACUAAGGUAACCCGCGCGGAGGGGACCCAGCUCCCAGGUGGCCAUCCCAGUUCCCACAAAGCCCUCCCUGACCUUUAGAUCUGGAAAUUAUAGCCCCAGCCCCCGGUCCCAACGCCAUGUGCUUUUUAAAAGGUGCAAAGGUGCGUGAAAAACGUAGACCGUACUAUUGAUGCUUCUCAUGCUAUAAAUGCAUUUCCUGUUUCUGUACUCAGUAAUCCCUCCCCUCACAAAUACCUAGGGCUAGUUGGUCUAGUUUUCCAAUUGGUCUGCCAGUCUCAGGCUUGCUCUCAGAUUCAUUCUCCUUGCUUCCACCAGGGAGAUGGAGAGAGGGAAGAGGGGAGGAAGAGGGUGAAGUGGAGGGUGAGAAGAAGAGGGGAAGAGAGAUGAUUCUAUGGCUUAUCUAUUUGUGUGUGUGUGGAAGCGGGGGGACUGAAUUUUAAUUCAUGUGUUUAUGGAUAUGUGAACCCAAGCAAAUAAAUGAAAACCAGUAACAGCAGCAAUAACAGAAACAACCAGGCAAAACGAUUAUCAUAACACUUGCAGUGCUCGCUUAAUUGCCUAUGUGAGAUAGGAACUAUUAGUGUCACCUGUGUACUGAUGCAGAAACUGUGGCACCUGAGAGGUUGAAUAACCUUCUUGGGAUCUUGCAGGUUGUAAAGGGUGUUGCUGGGAUUCAAAUCCAAGCACGUAAGAAAGCAACCAGAUACAAACUUGAGGCAACCUAUCAAGACAAAUGCUGGGGCAGGCUUACAGCAGGCAAUACCAACAAGCUUGACUGAGCGAAAAUUGGGAGUUAUUUAAUUUCUAUAGAAGUAGAUGUGUUGCCUUUUAAGUGAAGUGGUAGUGUUACCGGAAAGGGGUCCUGAUCCUGACCCCUUUCCACUUACUUCUUGGAUCUCACUCAAGAAAGAAUUUGGGACGAAUUCAUAAAGUGAAAGCAAGUUUAUUAAGAGAGUAAGUAAAUAAAAUAAUGGUUACUUCAUAGUCAUAGCAGCACUGAGGGCUGCUGGUUGGCUAUUUUUAUGGUUAUUUCUUUAUUAUAUCUAAAUAAGGGGUGUAUUAUUCAUGAAUUUUCAGGUAAAGGGAUGGGCUGUUUCCAGAACUGAGGGUCUCUCCCCUUUUUAGAUAGGAUAACUUUUGAAUGUUGCCAUGGCAUUUGUAAACUGUCAUGGCGCUGGUGGGAGUGUCUUUUAGCUAAUGCCAUAUAAUUGGCGUAUAAUAAGCAGUGAGGACGACCAGAGGUCACCAUCUUGAUUUUGGUGGGGUUUGACUGGCUUCUUUACUGCAUCCUGUUUUACCAGCAGGGUCUUUGUGACUUGUAUCUUGUGAUUCUAGUCCUGCUGACCUCCUGUCUCAUCCUGUAACUAAGAAUACCUAACCUCCUGGGAAUGCAGCCCAGUAGGUCUCAGCUUUAUUUUACUCAGCCCCUAUUAGAGAUGGAGUUGCUCUGGUUCAAAUGCCUCUGACAGUAGGGAGCAGGAAAUAACAGGAAUUGAAGAUAAUUUACAAAACAGGAGCCAAUUUUAAAACACAGUCCCUAUUUACAAAUAUGCUUUCAGUUUAUAAUAUCUCCAAUGGACUCGGUUAGAAAUAUAGAUGUUUUGUGAGAGACUGCAGUUCUUUUAAGAAAAGUAUGUGCAUUACUAUUAGAAAGACAUCAGUUGGAAUGAAUCUGGAUCUAGCCACAUUAAGAUAAGACAGCGAUGCCAAAAGGCUUUGAACUUAAUCGUGAUACAUUCAGUAGCGUGAUGCUUUAUUCUUGGAGUUAACAAACCAGAAAAUAGAGUGCAUAUCAAUAUAUUUACCUGUGAAUUUAUACUAAUUGGUUGACCAAAAUAUAUGUUAGACAAUGCUUGCUUAUUUUUCAAGCAAUGUUAAGAACAUUAAUAAAAUGGAUUUGAAAUUCUCAGCUUAAAAAACAAACAAAAAAUGAAAAAAAAAAUCACCAUUUUCGAGUUUCCAUCUCCCUGAGCUGCAUUCUGGAAGUCCCUGCCAGCUGAAAGAUUUCUGAGAGACUCUACCAGAACUAAUUAGCUAAGCCGUCUUGGGACCUCCCUACACAGCCAAGGAAACAGUUAUUGGAUUCUUUGCUCUUUGAAAAUCUUUGUUCUCUGAAAACAAGUAGCCAUACUUUGAUAAUUCAGAGAGUUUACUGGAUAUUUACUGUAUUUUCUGCAUGGUCUCAGUUUAAACACAAAUCUGUAAUUGAGAGUCUCUUGGUCUCACUUAUGUAGCAAUACCAUUUAUGCUUCCAUAAUAUAAAUUAUUUCAUAUAGUUGCCUGAGAUAAUGGGAUAAUGUUUUACCGAUCAAGUUGACAAAGAUCAUAUUUAGUGCUGGUUUCUAAAAUCACAUCAGUAUGAAUCAGGAAACUUUAAAUGCUCUUAAUUUUUUUUCACCAUCUAAAUAGAUUUAAUUAGUAAAAAAUCACCUUUUUUAGUCAGAUGGUCUCAUAUGUAGCAUCAUGGCUGCAAUGGUAGUGCAAGUCUGGG
rnacentral:lncRNA from 1 species